UUGCAUCAGCACAUGCUUCAGCGCUCCGAGUGUUUAUAGCGUUCAGACUCAAACACUUUAUAACACACUGCUGUUUACCACGGUACAAAACCAACAAACACAAUGAAUCUCUUCAGCAGCUUCAUCUGGAUUCUGACAGCUUUUAUUUCAGCAGCAUCCAGAGGAAUCACUGUGACUCAACCUGAAGUUGUGACUGUUUCUGAAGGACGAGACGCCACUAUAGAGUGUAAAACUGAUGCUGGAAUAGCUGGCUAUGGUUUAGCUUGGUAUCAGCAGAAACCUGGAGAAACUCCUAAACUCAUCAUUUAUGGCAUAAAUGAUCUCUAUGAUGAGAGUUUCAGUCGAUUCAGUGGGAAUGGAAGAUCUGGUGGGACAGAUUUCACUCUGACCAUCAGUGGAGUCCAGACUGAAGAUGCUGCACAUUAUUACUGUCAGAGUUUUCAUGUCAUCAACAGUGAUUAUGUGUUCACACAGUGAUAAAGAGUCGUACAAAAACCUCCGUCAGUCAGAGUCACAGUGACUGAACUGAUUCUGCAGCUGCUCAAACAAUCACUCACACAACAUCAGAUAUUCAUGGAUAUUAAAUGAAAAAUAUCCAUUGAGCUUUCACAUGGUAAAUAUCUCACAUAUUAACACUAUCACUCACUCAACAGUGAAGAAAGAAAUUAAUAUGAUCUAAUAAUAAACAUCAGUUUUG